UACGUAGGGGGCGAGCGUUGUCCGGAAUUACUGGGCGUAAAGAGCUCGUAGGUGGUUUGUCGCGUUGUUCGUGAAAACCUGAGGCUUAACCUUGGGCGUGCGGGCGAUACGGGCAGACUGGAGUACUGCAGGGGAGACUGGAAUUCCUGGUGUAGCGGUGGAAUGCGCAGAUAUCAGGAGGAACACCGGUGGCGAAGGCGGGUCUCUGGGCAGUAACUGACGCUGAGGAGCGAAAGCGUGGGGAGCGAACAGG
rnacentral:rRNA from 1 species